AGGUGCUAAGGUGGAGGAUGCGGCCUGGCUUCGGAAAGCAGAUGACUUUAACCACAUCAAUGUUGCUGAAUUAGACGCGAGCCUGGAAAAAAACC